CUCUCACUGAUGAUGGCAUGAUUGCUGUACAGUCUGAGCUGUGGGAACCAGUUGAUGAAAUAUAUUAAUAGACAGGCUAAGAGAA
ensembl:scaRNA